rnacentral:lncRNA from 1 species
UUUUGUUGUACAUUUUUUUUCGCCGUACAUGUGUUAGUGUCUUAUUGUAACUUUUGGAUUAAAAAUUAAAAGAUAAGACGGUGCAUUUUGGCGCACCGACAUACAACGACACAACACACCUGAAAAUUACUGUAAUCUGCGUGAUAUAAAAAAGUGAAUUUUAUUGUUUAAUGAUAAAUAAUUGGAGCAACCCAUUUACCAUGAUUAUUGGUUAUGUUAGAACUGUUGAUGUGUGUUUGCACAUAAGUUGUUCGAUGAAUGUCUAUCUAAUCAUCACCGGUCACCGCCUUCUCCUUCUUCCGGUCCUCGACUCUUUCAGUUCGAUGAAAUACCUAUCUAGUCUCAUCGUCUUCUCCUUCUUCCAGUCCUCGAGUCUUCCAGUUCGAUAAAAUGUCUAUCUAGCCAUCACUGCCUUCUCCUUCUUCCAGUCUUCGACUCUUUCAGUUCGAUGAAAUGUCUAUCUUGAAGUUAGAAUACACCAGGUUCCAAACUUCUCCAAUCCUCGACUUUUCUCUGAUCAUCUUCACCGACAUGAUGUUCGUCUGAGAAGAUGAUUGUUGGUCGGAUUUUCCAUCGGAAUCCACAUCUGAGAUCUGAACUUUAAUGUGCUUGAACACAAGGUUUCCACCAGUGUUUUGAGUCUUUCCACCGUUCCUGCUCCAUAAUCUACGGGGAGGUCGUUUGGCUGCCCACCUACCGUCACUUCGUCAAAACCUGUAAUAAUACCACCAUUAGACGUGAAAUUCCAAAACGAGCUUACAUGACCUAUUUUCAGACCGGUGUAUCCCUCUUAGAGGAUCACAAACUCUAACUUCGUUCCAACAGUUAUAUUACAGUUGCCAUUUCGUCUAGUAUGUUUCGGUAAUCCCAACUCAUAAAAUGGGACCAAUCUGUUCCGAAUCCAACAAUGAACCUUCUUGGAACAAAUUGAAAAACAAUUGUAAAUUUCUCAGACGACCAUCUUUGUCAGAAUAAGUCUGGAGAUCUAAUUUUUGUCGAUUUGGGGAUGAGGAUGACUAUCCGAUUUGGGUAUUGGCAGGUGAUUGCAGGUUUGGAGGUGGCAAUAACCGAUUGUGGAGAGGUUGAAUGGCAGAUAAGCUUCCAUGGCAUAACAGUAAUUUUAAAUUAAAAACGCAAUUAUUUGACUAGUCUACAGAAUAUCGGUACAUACCAAUCAAUUUAUUAUUAUUAGGGUAUGACUCCGGCCGUCUAUGUUGGUGUAUUGUUUUUUUUUGUUAUGAAAAAGCACAUGGUCACAUUUUUGACCUUAGGAUGAAAAUAAACUAAGAUGGCUACAUGUCAGUGGACGGUUGAGAUGUAGUUGAGGUUUAUAUAAUCCAUAUGUAAAUAGACCCAAAAUCAAAUAUAUUGGAUAGUCCGAAUAAAUAUUCGACUAAUUUUGAAGAUUUACCAUUUGCAUUAAAAAACCCUAGAAGCCGUUUCUGCAAACCUCUAACGAUCAACCAUCCAUGGAGGGAACAUC